UGGGGCGUCGUCUAACGGUAGGACAGCGGACUCUGACUCCGCCAGUCUAGGUUCGAAUCCUAGCGCCCCAGCCA
rnacentral:tRNA from 1 species